AUAGAGAAAUCAAUUAGAAAAAAUACAUCAUGAGAGGAAAUAAACCUAACAAAGUAGACUUUUGUUGUUCUCAUUUCUCUUUCUUUUUUCUCUUUUGCCUGCAGUAUAUUUCACGUA
rnacentral:ribozyme from 14 species